rnacentral:lncRNA from 10 species
UCUGCUCUUGUGAUCUUGAUUGACACGAGUGGCACCCUUCUGCAGAAGUAAAUUGCCUAGCUUAGAGAACUUCUGCCUGAGUGCUGGUUUCACUUUGCUGCACCAAGCAUUUAUUCCUAGAACAUUUUUAUAUUCAGCAAUUCUGGGGGCUCAUCCGGGAUCCCCAUUCUCCUUCAAGAAGGGGUCUUCAGUCACCCUACCCAGGGGAGAUGUGUCCCACUGCCCCAUUGUGGUGGCCUCAGGGAGGGGAGAUCAAGACCCACCCGUUGUUAUGAAUAAACUUGGACUCUCAGCAACACGGGGAGGAGAGGCUUGCAGUAUCGUGGCGACCAGCUAAACUCUGUGCACAGACCAAGUCUCCAUCACUCUCUGCUGCCUGGUAACUGGUAUUGGACACCUGGACAUCUGCAUCCCCGAGCCUUGAGAACCCAACACGUGUUCUGGAAUGACUGGCAGUAGCACCCCACCACUCAACCCCCAUAUGAGAAGAAAAAGGCCUCCUGCCUCCUCUUCUUUCACCAGACACUGUGGGCCCACAAUUCCCAUGUGCACCCCAAAGAUCCAAGCCACUAGCUCUCUCUCCACCUCUUGCAGGGGCCAGCUGCAACUGAGCAAACAGAGGUCAGACCUCCCUGGCCUUUGGAAUAGGCAAUGUUGACAGACUGAGGGAACAUUUCUGCCAUUUCCCUGAAUGACAAUGCUCAGCAGGGACAUGGAAAGCAUAGGAACUCGUGGCUGAGAAAGCAGAACUAACAAGCUCAAGACCGUUAGUCCAGGUGAAGGCCAAGGCUUCUGUGGUCAAAGAACCUGCCCAAAGACACACCACUAUUGAACUCAGACCCUGCGAACUCUCCACCCUGCCUGGGAGUUGCUGAGCUGUCAGGCCAGGGGCUGUGCACGUGAGUGCAAGUAGACCUUGUCAUCAAGGUGGUAUUCAAUUGUGCUUUUAAAAAAUGCAAUAAACCCAUUAUUGUGAAGUUGAACAUUUUUCUCCAUAUCAUGCCAAGCCCUAAACUGCUCAGAGAUCUAAACAUACUUUCUUUUAAGUACCAGUGGGACAGUUUUUAAUCCUUGCCAGGGGACAUAUAACACCAUCUUGCAAGCUGGUGGCUGUAUCUCGAAGGCCCUGUAUGAAAUGAUAGUGACGUAGGGGUAGCUCAAGGAGGGGAUGGGAAUCCAAGUGAGACUGUACAGAUGAGCCCCUUCAAACCACGUGGCUCAGCACAGGCAGCAAGAGGACCCACAGUCUACUGCGAGCACAGUGAGAAGGCAAUCAAGUGUUUCUCACAGAUAACGAUAUCCGGCAUCUACAUAACACCCACUGCAUAGCAGUUACCAUUCUAAAUUCUCUACUUGCCUUGAGAUAUUUAAUCCUCACCUCUUCCCCAAGAAGUAAGUACUAUUGUUAUCUCCAUUCUUACAGAUGAGGAGACAGAAACUAAAAAGAUCAGGUGGGCUGAGCAAAGUCAUACAGGUAUUAGGCGCUGGAGCCAUAUCAGCUCAAGAGUUCAUCCUGGAAAUCAGUAUGCUACCAGGACUCUUUGAGCAUUUGUAGUGUACUAAUGCAUAUAAUCCUAGCAAUAAUCCUAGAAUGUGUCAUCAUUGCUAUUUAAAGAAGGGGAAACUGAGGCCUAGAAAUUUUCAAAAGGAAAGCAUUUUAGCUGAUCUUGACAUUAUCAACCAGAGUAAUAGCUAUCAUUGUAAUCAACAUUCACU